rnacentral:rRNA from 1 species
GUGCACGCUGGCGGUAGGCCUAACACCUGCAAGUCGCACGGCAGCACAGUAAGAGCUUGCUCUUACGGGUGGCGAGUGGCGGACGGGUGAGGAAUACAUCGGAAUCUACUUUUUCGUGGGGGAUAACGUAGGGAAACUUACGCUAAUACCGCAUACGACCUACGGGUGAAAGCAGUGGAUCUUCGGACCUUGCGCGAUUGAAUGAGCCGAUGUCGGAUUAGCUAGUUGGCGGGGUAAAGGCCCACCAAGGCGACGAUCCGUAGCUGGUCUGAGAGGAUGAUCAGCCACACUGGAACUGAGACACGGUCCAGACUCCUACGGGAGGCAGCAGUGGGGAAUAUUGGACAAUGGGCGCAAGCCUGAUCCAGCCAUACCGCGUGGGUGAAGAAGGCCUUCGGGUUGUAAAGCCCUUUUGUUGGGAAAGAAAAGCAGCAGGUUAAUACCCCGCUGUUCUGACGGUACCCAAAGAAUAAGCACCGGCUAACUUCGUG